rnacentral:rRNA from 1 species
CCCUUAGAUGUCCUGGGCUGCACGCGCGCUACACUGAUGUGUCCAGUAAGCACCUAACCUCUUCCGAAAGGAACGGGUAACCUUUGCAAAGCACAUCGUGAUGGGGAUAGAUUAUUGCAAUUAUUAGUCUUGAACGAGGAAUUCCUAGUAAGCACAAGUCAUCAGCUUGUGUUGAUUACGUCCCUGCACUUUGUACACACCGCCCGUCGCUCCUACCGAUUGAAUGUUCCGGUGAGCUCUUCGGACUGCGCGGUCUGCAGUUUCUGCGUUCCGUGCGGAAAGUUGCGCAAACCUUAACAUUUAGAGGAAGGAGAAGUCGUAACA